GUCGAGCGGCAGCACGGGUACUUGUACCUGGUGGCGAGCGGCGGACGGGUGAGUAAUGCCUAGGAAUCUGCCUGGUAGUGGGGGAUAACGUUCGGAAACGAACGCUAAUACCGCAUACGUCCUACGGGAGAAAGCAGGGGACCUUCGGGCCUUGCGCUAUCAGAUGAGCCUAGGUCGGAUUAGCUAGUUGGUGAGGUAAUGGCUCACCAAGGCGACGAUCCGUAACUGGUCUGAGAGGAUGAUCAGUCACACUGGAACUGAGACACGGUCCAGACUCCUACGGGAGGCAGCAGUGGGGAAUAUUGGACAAUGGGCGAAAGCCUGAUCCAGCCAUGCCGCGUGUGUGAAGAAGGUCUUCGGAUUGUAAAGCACUUUAAGUUGGGAGGAAGGGCAGUUACCUAAUACGUAAUUGUUUUGACGUUACCGACAGAAUAAGCACCGGCUAACUCUGUGCCAGCAGCCGCGGUAAUACAGAGGGUGCAAGCGUUAAUCGGAAUUACUGGGCGUAAAGCGCGCGUAGGUGGUUCGUUAAGUUGGAUGUGAAAUCCCCGGGCUCAACCUGGGAACUGCAUUCAAAACUGUCGAGCUAGAGUAUGGUAGAGGGUGGUGGAAUUUCCUGUGUAGCGGUGAAAUGCGUAGAUAUAGGAAGGAACACCAGUGGCGAAGGCGACCACCUGGACUGAUACUGACACUGAGGUGC
rnacentral:rRNA from 1 species